GAGACAGCUGGAAGGAGGCAUGGUGGUGGCAGCCAUUUUGUAGGGUGAGAGCACAUGCUGCUGAUCUGCUCACUCACCCCACGGAGGUGAGGCAGCAAGCUGGACCUGCCAUUGCUUUCCCUUCACCCCGGAUCUCCCUUCAGGUUCUCUGCACCCUGGGCCAGGUGUAUACUUGUUCAGCAACAUGACACAGGACCUCAGCUUCUGCAGGAUACCCCCGUGAAGUCCGUGUUGAGUCUGGUCAUCUAUAGCUGCCACAAAGAAGCCCCUCAACAUUCCAGUCUGCCUCAGCCUGGGUCCCAAAGCUCCAAAGCCAAAGAGUCUGAUGAUAAGUUCCAAGGAGCCAUAUACUACUUCAUCGGAGGUCCUGACACCUUGAGGGGUGCAUGGGGCUGGUGCCAUCUCCACUCGCAGAACCUUCCAUCCUCCAAGUCUCAGAGAACUCAGGUCUCUCUGGAUCCAGCUACUUCUCUACCCACUCGUUACCUCCUCCUUGAAAUGAAGAUUCAAAUAAAUACUUGGCAAAGCAGAUUUGAUGAUCGUGUCUGCUUUGCUCAGAGGGAAACAUCCAUCCUCUGCAGUAGCUCUGUGGGCUUCGCCGCAGAGUUAUUCAGUAGCCUCUCCAGAGACUCACAAUGCUCAUGUUCUCCUCGGCUGUAGUACCCUGAAGAGAAGUCUAUUUCCUUCUUCCUGUUAAUAUAAGGAGAAGAGAGUUUCAUGGAAGACUACAGUUAUUUGGACAAUUCUGGGCCUCCUCACUUGAUUUAAGACAAAAAGGAUAGGUACAUUUCAUCAGUAAUAUCUCCAGAGACUAAAAUUUUCAGAGUUUCCUUUCUAAGGGAGAGUUUAAAGAAUCUAGCGCCCCCUCCUCCCCACUUUUUUAAGCUUUUCCUGUGCAAGAGGCUGCUGCUGUUUGUAUUCCGCCACUUAGGUAAUUUCCACUUGAAGCUGGACCCUCAAUUCCUAAGCUAGAAUGCACCACCUUUGCCCUCAUAAUCUUUUUUUUUCAAGGAAAGAGUUGUCCUGAACUAACAUCUGUUGCC
rnacentral:lncRNA from 1 species